GCCUACGGGAGGCAGCAGUGGGGAAUUUUGGACAAUGGGCGAAAGCCUGAUCCAGCAAUGCCGCGUGUGUGAAGAAGGCCUUCGGGUUGUAAAGCACUUUUGUGCGGGAAGAUAAUGACGGUACCGCAAGAAUAAGCCCCGGCUAACUCUGUGCCAGCAGCCGCGGUC
rnacentral:rRNA from 1 species